rnacentral:rRNA from 1 species
AGCAGUCGCCGCGGUAAUACGUAGGUGGCAAGCGUUGUCCGGAAUUAUUGGGCGUAAAGGGCUCGCAGGCGGUUUCUUAAGUCUGAUGUGAAAGCCCCCGGCUCAACCGGGGAGGGUCAUUGGAAACUGGGAAACUUGAGUGCAGAAGAGGAGAGUGGAAUUCCACGUGUAGCGGUGAAAUGCGUAGAGAUGUGGAGGAACACCAGUGGCGAAGGCGACUCUCUGGUCUGUAACUGACGCUGAGGAGCGAAAGCGUGGGGAGCGAACAGGAUUAGAUACCCCGGUAGUCCCUGUCUCUUAUAA